CCCUUAGAUGUUCUGGGCUGCACGCGUGCUACACUGGCAGGUUCAGCGAGCUUCAUGCCCUGAUCUGAAAGGAAUGGGAAAUCUUUUCAAAACCUGCCGUGCUUGGGAUAGAUGUUUGCAAUUAUUCAUCUUCAACGAGGAUUGCCUUGUAAGCGCACGUCAUCAGCGUGCAUUGAAUACGACCCUGUAUUCUGUACACACCGCCCGUCGCACCUACCGAUUGAAUGGUCCGGUGAAAUCUUUGGACUGUGGCAUUGUGGAUCUUCGGAUUUACGUUGCUGUGGGAAGUUGAUUAAACCUUACCAUUUAGAGGAAGGUGAAGUCGUAACA
rnacentral:rRNA from 1 species